CCGUUCAACUCGAUCUUUCAAACGUCCAUUGGCCCAUCUGGGUUGCUCCCGGCAUUUCUCCUCGUCAAGGUCUUCUAAGAGUCCAUCUGGAAUUUUUUUUUAUGUUCCCAAGGGAACGACAAAUGUCUGGCCAAUCUGCUAAUAAAACUCGGCUUGGUGAGGCAGUUUCAAAGGUUAGCUUGAAUCGUCUUUUGGACUUGAUUUUAUCUUCGCCUAACUUGUUCGCUUUGAGUCUCACAGC